UGCCCAGCAACUCCUAUCUCUACCUCCUCGUGGUACUGGCCGGGGUACGAGCAACUUUAGGGAAGAUCGGGUAACCAACUUAACGUAACCGGUGAGAACUUCGGUCGUAUUCUGAUAGGGAUGG
rnacentral:ribozyme from 1 species